rnacentral:rRNA from 1 species
GACGAACGCUGGCGGCGUGCUUAACACAUGCAAGUCGAACGGAAAGGCCCUGCUUUUGUGGGGUGCUCGAUUGGCGAACGGGUGAGUAACACGUGAGUAACCUGCCCUUGACUUUGGGAUAACUUCAGGAAACUGGGGCUAAUACCGGAUAGGAGCUCCUGCUGCAUGGUGGGGGUUGGAAAGUUUCGGCGGUUGGGGAUGGACUCGCGGCUUAUCAGCUUGUUGGUGGGGUAGUGGCUUACCAAGGCUUUGACGGGUAGCCGGCCUGAGAGGGUGACCGGCGACAUUGGGACUGAGAUACGGCCCAGACUGCUACGGGAGGCAGCAGUGGGGAAUAUUGCACAAUGGGCGGAAGCCUGAUGCAGCAACGCCGCGUGCGGGAUGACGGCCUUCGGGUUGUAAACCGCUUUCGCAUGUGACGAAGCGUGAGUGACGGUAAUGGGUAAAGAAGCACCGGCUAACUACGUG